UACAGAGGUCUCAAGCGUUGUUCGGAUUCAUUGGGCGUAAAGGGUGCGUAGGUGGGCAGUUAAGUCAGUGGUGAAAUCUCCGGGCUCAACCCGGAAACUGCCAUUGAUACUAUCUGUCUUGAAUAUCGUGGAGGUAAGCGGAAUAUGUCAUGUAGCGGUGAAAUGCUUAGAUAUGACAUAGAACACCAAUUGCGAAGGCAGCUUACUGCCCGAAUAUUGACACUGAGGCACGAAAGCGUGGGGAUCAAACAGG
rnacentral:rRNA from 1 species